UAGGUUGGCACCAAGUGACACUUCAUUACAUUUCUCAUUUAAUGUUUCAUGUACUCUAUUUUGGGAGUCCUGCAUUUAUCUAAUAACACAUAGGGUGAUCUGAGCCCAAGUAAUCAAUAUAUCAAUAUCAAAGGUUUCAUAGUGCAAGACAGAUGGUACCUGUGCCCUAAAGUCUUUCAGGUCAGAGUGACCUGCUAAUGGUGGUGAACAAAGGAACUGGAAUUUACUGACUUUUCAGAGUUGACCACCUGCCAGAGAUGAGAUCAAGAAAAUUUAGAUCAAGGAAAUUUAGAGAGGAUGGGUGUAGUAGACCACUACCUAUAAAAGUAGGGGCCCCAGAGGGUCCGGUGGGCUUGCCUUUGGUUGUAUUCAAGUCUGUCUGUCUAUCGCUUAACCACAGCAUGGGGCACUUUUUGUCCAUUUUUCAUCUAUGCUCCAAUUAGUAUGCUCUUGACACGUCUGGUGAGGGAGAGAAAAACUGACAAAUGAACCGAAACUGGAGAAAAGCUAAGGAUAACAAAUAACCUGUGGAUGGAAACAUGGGCAAGGGAUGAGGAACCAGCAGACAUGGGGAAACAGGCAGAAGAAACACAGCGACGCACAAGGAACGACACGCAGACAGACCAGCAAGGAGCAGAAGGAAGCACACACUAAAUAUACACACAAGGUUUGUGCUCCCUGGCCCGACUUUGUCCUCCUCUUUCUCACACGCUGCUGAAUUUAUCCUGGUGUGUCAGAGGUGGAAAGCCAUAAGAAUGAACAAUAAAUAGAACUGAAACCUU